AUUGAACGCUGGCGGCAUGCCUUACACAUGCAAGUCGAACGGUAACAGGUCUUCGGAUGCUGACGAGUGGCGAACGGGUGAGUAAUACAUCGGAACGUGCCCGAGAGUGGGGGAUAACGGGGCGAAAGCUCUGCUAAUACCGCAUACGAUCUCAGGAUGAAAGCGGGGGACCUUCGGGCCUCGCGCUCACGGAGCGGCCGAUGGCAGAUUAGGUAGUUGGUGGGAUAAAAGCUUACCAAGCCUGCGAUCUGUAGCUGGUCUGAGAGGAUGAUCAGCCACACUGGGACUGAGACACGGCCCAGACUCCUACGGGAGGCAGCAGUGGGGAAUUUUGGACAAUGGGGGAAGCCCUGAUCCAGCAAUGCCGCGUGCAGGAUGAAGGCCUUCGGUUGUAAACUGCUUUGUUACGGAACGAAAAGGCUCUGGAUAAUACCUGGGGCUCAUGACGGUACCGUAAGAAUAAGCACCGGCUAACUACGUGCC
rnacentral:rRNA from 1 species